UCUGGGCGUAAAGCGUGCGUAGGCGGCUUUUUAAGUCGGAUGUGAAAUCCCUGAGCUUAACUUAGGAAUUGCAUUCGAUACUGGGAAGCUAGAGUAUGGGAGAGGAUGGUAGAAUUCCAGGUGUAGCGGUGAAAUGCGUAGAGAUCUGGAGGAAUACCGAUGGCGAAGGCAGCCAUCUGGCCUAAUACUGACGCUGAGGUACGAAAGCAUGGGGAGCAAACAGGAUUAGAUACCCUGGUAGUCCAUGCCGUAAACGAUGUCUACUAGCCGUUGGGGCCUUUGAGGCUUUAGUGGCGCAGCUAACGCGAUAAGUAGACCGCCUGGGGAGUACGGUCGCAAGACUAAAACUCAAAUGAAUUGACGGGGGCCCGCACAAGCGGUAAUCG
rnacentral:rRNA from 1 species